rnacentral:rRNA from 1 species
AACGAACGCUGGCGGCAUGCCUAACACAUGCAAGUCGAACGAGACCUUCGGGUCUAGUGGCGCACGGGUGCGUAACGCGUGGGAACCUGCCCUUAGGUUCGGAAUAACUCCCCGAAAGGGGUGCUAAUACCGGAUAAUGUCUUCGGACCAAAGAUUUAUCGCCUUUGGAUGGGCCCGCGUUGGAUUAGCUGGUUGGUAGGGUAAAAGCCUACCAAGGCGACGAUCCAUAGCUGGUCUGAGAGGAUGAUCCGCCACACUGGGACUGAGACACGGCCCAGACUCCUACGGGAGGCAGCAGUGGGGAAUAUUGGACAAUGGGCGAAAGCCUGAUCCAGCAAUGCCGCGUGAGUGAUGAAGGCCUUAGGGUUGUAAAGCUCUUUUACCCGGGAUGAUAAUGACAGUACCGGGAGAAUAAGCUCCGGCUAACUCCGUG